UACAUGGGGUGCAAACGUUGCUCGGAAUUAUUGGGCGUAAAGCGCGCGUAGGCGGUUACUUAAGUCGGAUGUGAAAGCCCUCGGCUUAACUGAGGAAGUGCACCCGAAACUGAGUAGCUAGAGUACGAAAGAGGGUCGCGGAAUUCCCGGUGUAGAGGUGAAAUUCGUAGAUAUCGGGAGGAACACCGGUGGCGAAGGCGGCGACCUGGGUCGAGACUGACGCUGAGGCGCGACAGCAUGGGGAGCAAACAGG
rnacentral:rRNA from 1 species